GGGUCAGUAGGUUGGUCGUGCCACCGGUACGUACUGGUCUCACCGAUUCCUCCUUCCUGAAGAGCCGUAAUGCCAUUAAUUUGGUGUUGCGGGGAAACAGGACUGUUACUUUGAAAAAAUUAGAGUGUUUAAAGCAAGCUAACGCUUGAAUACAUUAGCAUGGAAUAAUGAAAUAGGACGAUCGAUCCUAUUUUGUUGGUUUCUAGGAUUGACGUA
rnacentral:rRNA from 1 species